GGUAGCCGGCCUGAGAGGGNGACCGGCCACACUGGGACUGAGACACGGCCCAGACUCCUACGGGAGGCAGCAGUGGGGAAUAUUGCGCAAUGGGCGAAAGCCUGACGCAGCRACGCCGCGUGAGGGAUGACGGCCUUCGGGUUGUAAACCUCUUUCAGCAGGGACGAAGCGAAAGUGACUGUACCUGCAGAAGAAGCGCCGGCUAACUACGUGCCAGCAGCCGCGGUAAUACGUAGGGCGCAAGCGUUGUCCGGAUUUAUUGGGCGUAAAGAGUUCGUAGGCGGUCUGUCGCGUCGGAAGUGAAAACCCGGAGCUCAACUCCGGGCCUGCUUUCGAUACGGGCAGACUUGAGUGUUGCAGGGGAGACUG
rnacentral:rRNA from 1 species